rnacentral:rRNA from 1 species
UACGUAGGGGGCGAGCGUUGUCCGGAGUUACUGGGCGUAAAGGGCAUGCAGGCGGUCGGACGCGUUUUGUGUGACAGCGGGUGGCUUAACUACCCGAGCAUGCGAAAGACGGUUGGACUUGAGGGCUCGAGAGGGACACGGAAUUCCGGGUGGAGUGGUGAAAUGCGUAGAGAUCCGGAGGAACACCUGUGGUGUAGACAGCUUACUGGACCACUUCUGACGCUGAGACACGAAAGCGUGGGUAGCAAACAGG